UCACUUCCCUGAUACAAAACAUGCUGUCACCAAGAAGGAUAUUUUCAUGGGCCAAGGCUUAUCGAUUGCACUCCCAAUGUGUUGACCCCUAUGAUUUCCCCAAAUGUGGGACAUUUGAUGGUAUAGUUUGUGUUAUUAAGGUGCAACAUUCACUCUC
ensembl:snRNA U1 U1 spliceosomal RNA